rnacentral:rRNA from 1 species
AGGCAGCAGUGGGGAAUAUUGCACAAUGGGCGCAAGCCUGAUGCAGCCAUGCCGCGUGUAUGAAGAAGGCCUUCGGGUUGUAAAGUACUUUCAGCAGUGAGGAAGGCAGGUACGUUAAUAGCGUGCUUGUUUGACGUUAGCUGCAGAAGAAGCACCGGCUAACUCCGUGCCAGCAGCCGCGGUAAUACGGAGGGUGCGAGCGUUAAUCGGAAUUACUGGGCGUAAAGCGCAUGCAGGUGGUUUGUUAAGUCAGAUGUGAAAGCCCGGGGCUCAACCUCGGAAUUGCAUUUGAAACUGGCAGACUAGAGUACUGUAGAGGGGGUAGAAUUUCAGGUGUAGCGGUGAAAUGCGUAGAGAUCUGAAGGAAUACCGGUGGCGAAGGCGGCCCCCUGGACAGAUACUGACACUCAGAUGCGAAAGCGUGGGGAGCAAACAGGAUUAGAUACCCUGGUAG